AGAUCGUGAUGAGGACACUUGCACAGUAGAUCUUUGUAUCUUUCCCAUGCUUCAUACAUAGAUUAACUCUCAAAUUAGGUGAAGGUAGUAAUAUCAUUCCUCAACUU